CCGGUUGCCAAAAUGCAAAUGGCAAGCGGUUUUGGAUGAACCGCUUGCCAAAAUGUAAAUGGAAAGUGGUUUGAGCAUUGAACCGCUUGCCAUUGGUUAAAAAAACCCUUACAAAUUAGAAACCCAUCCCACACAUUCACUCGGCGCCUCUAUCCUCUCUCUCCCCUCAUUUUCACGGUUCUCCUCUCUCUCUCCUCUCAACUUCUUACGCUCUAUCUCCUCUCUUCCUCCAUCACGCCUCACUUCUCUCUCCCCCUCCCCCUCCAUCUCCUUCUCUUUCUUCCCUCGACCUCCCUUCUGUCCUUUCUCACGCCUCACCACAACAGCUACGAGUGACCAGCAACCUUCGACGAGCGACCAGCGACGAGAAGAAGGCGGUAGGGUUCAGAUCUUCCGGCUCGGCGUUUGGGUAUUACGCUGCUUCUCAUGUCAGUCUCGCUUUAAUUUCCGAUACGGGUGAAUCGGGAUAGGGUGCUGGUGGCGGUGAUAGGUGGCGCGCGCGGCUGGUGGUUUGCAUGCUGGUGGUGGAACUGGAACAAGAGCAGAAAAUCAGAAAAUUAAUAAUUUAUAUAUUGUAUUUUUUUUGAAGGAUCAGAAAAUGUAAUAUUGAAGAAAUUGAUUAAUGAAAAUAGUUAUGGUUAUACAUAUGUUAA